GCUGGCGGUGCGCCUUAUGCAUGCAAGUCGAGCGAAGCUUUUCAGUAGUUUACUACAGAAAAUGACUGAGCGGCGAACGGGUGAGUAACGCGUGAGCAAUCUACCUUAGUUACAGGGAUAGCCCGAGGAAACUCGGAUUAAUACCUGAUAUUCUUUAUUUCUCGCAUGAGAAUAAAAGGAAAGGUCAGCCGAACUAAGAUGAGCUCGCGUUCUAUCAGCUAGUUGGUGAGGUAAAAGCUUACCAAGGCUACGACGGAUAGCUGGUCUGAGAGGACGAUCAGCCACACUGGGACUGAGACACGGCCCAGACUCCUACGGGAGGCUGCAGCAGGGAAUAUUGUGCAAUGAACGAAAGUUUGACACAGCGACACCGCGUGUGGGAUGACGGAUCUAGGUUUGUAAACCACUUUCAGGAGGGAAGAAAAUGACGGUACCUCCACAAGAAGCCCCGGCCAACUACGUGCCAGCAGCCGCGGUAAUACGUAGGGGGCGAGCGUUGUCCGGAUUUAUUGGGCGUAAAGAGCUCGUAGGCGGUUCAACAAGUCGGUCGUGAAAGUUCAGGGCUCAACCCUGAAAUGUCGAUCGAUACUGUUGUGACUAGGAUACGGUAGAGGUGAGUGGAAUUCCGAGUGUAGCGGUGAAAUGCGUAGAUAUUC
rnacentral:rRNA from 1 species